GACGAACGCUGGCGGCGUGCUUAACACAUGCAAGUCGAACGGUGAAGCGCCUUCCUUUUUGGUGGGUGUGGAUGAGUGGCGAACGGGUGAGUAACACGUGAGUAACCUGCCCCCUUCUUCUGGAUAACCGCAUGAAAGUGUGGCUAAUACGGGAUAUUCUGGGUCUGUCGCAUGAUGGGUCUGGGAAAGAUAUUGUUUCGGUGGGGGAUGGGCUCGCGGCCUAUCAGCUUGUUGGUGGGGUGAUGGCCUACCAAGGCGGUGACGGGUAGCCGGCCUGAGAGGGUGGACGGUCACACUGGGACUGAGACACGGCCCAGACUCCUACAGGAGGCAGCAGUGGGGAAUAUUGCACAAUGGGCGAAAGCCUGAUGCAGCGACGCAGCGUGAGGGAUGGAGGCCUGCGGGUUGUGAACCUCUUUCGCCAGUGAAGCAGGCCUGCCUCGUUUGUGGGUGGGUUGACGGUAGCUGGACAAGAAGCGCCAGCUAACUACGUG
rnacentral:rRNA from 1 species